rnacentral:rRNA from 1 species
CAGGUGCUGCAUGGCUGUCGUUCAGCUCGUGUCGUGAGAUGUUCGGUUAAGUCCGCUAACGAGCGCAACCCUCGCUGUGUGUUAUAUGUGUCACACGGGACUGCCGGUCUUAAGCCGGAGGAAGGUGGGGAGUGAUGUCAAGUCAGCAUGGCCUUUAUAUCCUGGGCUACACACACGCUACAAUGGCCAACACAAUAGGUUGCUAAGCCGCGAGGUGGCGCCAAUCCAUAAAGUUGGUCUCAGUUCAGAUUGUAGGCUGCAACCCGCCUGCAUGAAGAUGGAGUUGCUAGUAACCGCAGGUCAGCUAUACUGCGGUGAAUACGUUCCCGGGGCUU